rnacentral:lncRNA from 1 species
GUUUUUUAUUGCUGCUAAUUUAUUCCUAACUAAUCUUAAUAAGUUUUUUUUUUCCACAAACGCAACCAUUUUGGUGGGUUUUAGAGAAAGUUCAAAGUAUGUAUAGCAAAUUAAUCUGUGGUGGCUUUAAGAAAUCUCAGCUUGGAAUUAUAACUGUUUUUACUGCGUCUUUUAUAUACAGGACCUGUGUAUAUGUCCUUGGGCUCAUAGCUAAAACCAAACAAGGCUGUGAUAUUCUAAAAUGUCACAACUGGGAUGCUGUGAGGCAUAGUCGCAAACAUCUGUGGCCAGUGGUUCCAGAUGAUGUGGAACAACUCUGUAAUGAACUUUCAUCUAUCCCAAGCACUGCUCCAAACGGUUUGAACUCAGGAUCAACCAGCUCUAGACAUAAUAGCGAAAGUGAAUCUGUGCCAGCGAGUAUGUUCAUAUUGGAGGAUGACCGGUUUGGCAGCAGCUCUACUAGUACAUUUUUCCUUGAUAUCAACGAAGAUACAGAGCCAGCAUUUUAUGACCGAUCUGGACCCAUAAAGGAUAAAAAUUCAUUCCCUUUCUUUGCUUCUAGUAAACUUGUGAAGAAUCGUAUCUUAAAUUCGCUUACUUUGCCUAACAAAAAACAUCGUAGUAGCAGUGAUCCAAAAGGAGGGAAAUUAUCAUCUGAAAGUAAGACAAGCAACAGGCGAAUCAGAACACUUACGGAGCCCAGUGUUGAUUUUAAUCAUAGUGAUGAUUUUACACCCAUAUCCACUGUACAGAAAACAUUACAAUUAGAGACUUCAUUUAUGGGGAAUAAGCACAUUGAAGACACUGGUAGUACACCAAGCAUUGGAGAAAAUGACUUAAAAUUCACCAAGAAUUUUGGUACAGAGAAUCACAGAGAAAAUACAAGCCGAGAGAGGUUAGUAGUAGAAAGUUCAACGAGCUCACAUAUGAAGAUACGUAGCCAAAGUUUUAAUACAGACACUACAACAAGUGGCAUAAGUUCAAUGAGCUCAAGUCCUUCACGAGAGACAGUAGGUGUAGAUGCUACAACUAUGGACACAGACUGUGGAAGCAUGAGUACUGUGGUAAGUACUAAAACUAUUAAGACAAGCCACUAUUUGACGCCACAGUCUAACCAUCUGUCUCUCUCCAAAUCAAAUUCGGUGUCCCUGGUGCCUCCAGGUUCUUCUCAUACGCUUCCUAGAAGAGCACAGUCCCUUAAAGCACCCUCUAUUGCUACAAUUAAAAGUCUAGCAGAUUGUAACUUUAGUUACACAAGUUCUAGAGAUGCUUUUGGCUAUGCUACACUGAAAAGACUACAGCAACAAAGAAUGCAUCCAUCCUUAUCUCACUCUGAAGCUUUGGCAUCUCCAGCAAAAGAUGUGCUAUUUACUGAUACCAUCACCAUGAAGGCCAACAGUUUUGAGUCCAGAUUAACACCAAGCAGGAUCGAUUUUAAAAAGAAGCAUGUCGGGGGAAUCAGGAGCUUAAGACCUACAAUAACAAACAACCUUUUCAGGUUCAUGAAAGCCUUAAGUUAUGCAUCAUUAGAUAAAGAAGAUUUAUUGAGUCCUAUUAAUCAAAAUACCCUGCAACGAUCUUCCUCAGUGCGGUCCAUGGUGUCCAGUGCCACAUAUGGGGGUUCAGAUGAUUACAUUGGUCUUGCUCUCCCGGUGGAUAUAAAUGAUAUAUUCCAGGUAAAGGAUAUUCCCUAUUUUCAGACAAAAAACAUACCACCACAUGAUGAUCGAGGUGCAAGAGCAUUUGCCCAUGAUGCAGGAGGUCUUCCAUCUGGAACUGGAGGUCUUGUAAAAAAUUCUUUUCACUUGCUACGACAGCAGAUGAGUCUUACGGAAAUAAUGAAUUCAAUCCAUUCAGAUGCCUCUCUGUUUUUAGAAAGUACAGAAGACACUGGACUACAGGAACAUACAGAUGAUAACUGCCUUUAUUGUGUCUGUAUUGAAAUUCUGGGUUUCCAGCCCAGCAACCAACUGAGUGCAAUAUGUAGUCAUUCAGACUUUCAAGAUAUUCCAUAUUCUGAUUGGUGUGAGCAGACUAUCCAUAAUCCUUUAGAAGUGGUUCCCUCUAAGUUUUCGGGGAUUUCUGGAUGCAGUGAUGGGGUGUCUCAAGAAGGCUCAGCUAGCAGCACCAAAAGCACAGAAUUGUUACUAGGUGUUAAAACAAUUCCAGAUGAUACACCAAUGUGCCGUAUACUCCUUCGCAAAGAAGUUCUAAGAUUAGUCAUUAAUUUGAGUAGUUCAGUUUCAACUAAAUGUCAUGAGACUGGGCUUUUAACAAUUAAGGAGAAGUAUCCUCAAACAUUUGAUGACAUAUGCCUUUACUCUGAGGUUUCCCAUUUGCUGUCACACUGCACAUUCAGACUUCCGUGUCGGAGGUUCAUACAAGAAUUAUUUCAAGAUGUACAGUUUCUACAAAUGCAUGAAGAAGCAGAGGCUGUGUUGGCAACACCACCAAAGCAACCUAUAGUUGAUACAUCUGCUGAAUCCUGACCUCAUAUUUAUGAUGGAUAUAGAUACAUACUAUAUAUAUUCAUAUUUGUGGAUUUCCUAAAAGCCUCAGAAAAUACGACUGACUAGGCAGCAAAGACAGGAGUAUCUUCUGCACACUGUUCCGCAGUUACUGGUACAUGAACAGUUGGAACUGCUGACUUUCCUAACCAAAACAACUUCCUUCUCUCCUUUGUUGAGCCUUUUGAGGGGUUCAUGAUUCAUUACCACAGUUUUAAGAGUUUUAGUUACCAUUGUAUGCAAGAGCCAAGCACUGAAUACCUACAUAGGUUUUCUAUUUUCUUUCAUUUUAAAAGCAUAAUGACAGUGGAACAAUAAUGGGAUAUGCAGAAGCACCCUUCACAAGUUAUUUCUGAAUGAUUUUUAGGGUAAAUUUACAGAUGCCUUGUUUGUUAACUAAUUUGUGGAAAGCAGGAAUCAGUGUCUCUAAGGCUGCAUCCUGUUACCACAAUGGGGUGUGCUAUAACUGCUGGUAUUAGAGAGGGAACUUUGGCCCUUUCAUGUUUUUCUUAAUGUUUGUAACACUACUUCAGAGGUUUAUAACCUCAAAGCAGAAGAAGAGCCUCAACAACCCGGGACUUAUAAGUUAUUUUUAUGUUACUAGACUUGCAUAAAGAUUCUUGUUUUCCAACUCUUCAUUUUGUUGCAAUGUGUUAUUACAGGAUAUAUGAACCAAUUAAGGUUUUUCACUACAGUUCUUGAAUAAAAUUUAAAAAUCAUUUUUUAUUUUAAUUAAAAAUAUUUCCCAUUUAUAGAAUGCAUAUAUUUGCAAUGGACUUCCACUUUCAUCAACUUUCCAUCUCAUCGCUUUAAACAGGAACUUGAACAAGCACUGUUAGUUUAGACCUAAAGGAUAGGAAAGCAUUAAAUAAUACUUUGGAUCUCCUGAGGAAAAGAUAAGUUUGCUUGCAAUUUACACAUUCCAUGGGGAAAGAAGAGCCAUAUUUCCUUUAAAAAAAAACAUUAAUAAAGCUUGUUAUUAAGAAAAAUUGUAGUGAAAAGCCUUAAGUACCAAAUUUUAAAGCAGCAGUAACUUAAUUUUUAUAUCAGUGUUUUUGUUUUGCACAAACUAAAUGCAGUGGUAGGUGGGUUUAUGAGUAUAUUAAUUGCCUUUAUCCAUUUGUGAAGUUAAGUUGAUGAGGGCAAGGUUUUUGUUUGUUUAAUUUGUAUGUGUCUAAAGGUAUUUGGAACUUUUUACAGGAAUUAAACAUAUAUGCAAAUUUGUAUAUAAAAAUAGCAUGGCCAUCAUUUGAAUGCUUGUAAAUGAAAGGAUUAUCUUUUUUGAGAUCUACAUAUAAAUAGAAAUAGAAAAUCCAGCUGGACUGAUUAGGAUUCUUUUUUAAUUCAUUUGUGUAUAACAUUUUUAUUACAAUUACACAUCAGUUUUGACACAGUCAUAGCAACAUUAAUAUUUUCCCAUGAUGCAGAUCCUUUUUGUAAUGGGCUUGUUCUUUGAGAUCUCUGUAAAGAACCCUGUGAACUAGAAAACAUAACUCACAGAGAUACUUUUUUAAAAAAUUUAUUUACUGGCACUGAAAGUUCCAGUUGGGAUGAAGCAUUUCAUCUCACUUCAUAACACCUCUUUGACUGCACUUCAGUGAAUUGUUCUUAUGUGCACUGUGUAGCAACUUACAUUAUAACAAAGCAGAUAAGGGCUGUAAGCUGCUGCUUAUGUUGAAAAGUGGUUCUUCAGAUUUUCUCUCAUAAAAUCCAAUUGAAGAUAAAUAAUUUUUUUAUACUUUAUCACUGAACCCAAGUGUUUAUUUAAAUGUCAACAGUACUUCUAAGAACGUUGCCUGUCAUCGUGGUCUUUGGUCUUGGAUAACUAAACUGCCUUUCCAGAGAACCAAAUGUCAGAGUUACUAGACCAAAUAGUGGUUAAAACCUCCAAAGGAAGUAAUGUAGUAAUCUUAUUCAUAAUGGGUUUUAGACAUUCAUUUUAAACACUACCUCAGUUAAUAUAGAGUAUAAAAUCUGUGGUUUAAUCCCUCAAAAGUUAACAGUAAUUUUUUUUUGUCUUACACACACACACACACACACACACACCUCCUCCCCCACCAUCACUAUCCCUGUACCCUCACCUUGGUCAUCUAUCCUGAAAUAAGGCUUAGUUAGUGUUGGCCUGAAUGUUUCGUGUUUUUUUUUUUUUUACUGUUACUUUGAAAAAUAUGUAUGUAUACCUUAUCAUAUCUGCCUAUAUCACUUACUUUGGGGAGAUACUCAGAGCUUUGUGGUUAUCAGUAUACUAAAAAAAAAAAAAAAAAAAAGUCUACGCUUAAAUUUAUAGUGCUAUUUGGUUUCUCCAUGAUUUCACUGACAGGUCUAAUACAUUUUCUUUGAGUACUUGUUUGUAAAAAGUAGACUUUAUGGUGAAAAAUACAUGCAGUGCCAAGUGAUUAACUUAGGUGUUUAAAAAUAUUAAAUUAUAGCAGAAGAGGUUAGGAAUGAUAUCAGCAGUAAUAGAAAUAAUUGAGAAAAUCAUCUAUAAAUAAUAGAUAUUACAGACUAUAGAAUACCAAAAUAAUGUCAAUACUGUAGUUUUUAAAGAUUUUAGGAUUAAUCUUAGUCCAUAUAAAUUUGUACUAUUGGUAAUUAUUGAAUAAUUGGGAGGAAUCUGGGCAGUUGUGCUGGUUGUAAACUGUGAAUUUCUAAUCGUAAAGUGAAUUGUUAUUUCUAAUUGAACUUUUUUUCAAGAACAGAUUUCAGCCUCACAUACUAAGUAAAUACUGAUAAAUAAGGAAAUUAGAAAUUUAGUAUUCAUAAU